UACGUAGGGUGCGAGCGUUGUCCGGAAUUAUUGGGCGUAAAGAGCUUGUAGGCGGUUUGUCGCGUCUGCUGUGAAAAUCCGGGGCUCAACUCCGGACUUGCAGUGGGUACGGGCAGGCUAGAGUGUGGUAGGGGAGACUGGAAUUCCUGGUGUAGCGGUGGAAUGCGCAGAUAUCAGGAGGAACACCGAUGGCGAAGGCAGGUCUCUGGGCCACUACUGACGCUGAGGUGCGAAAGCGUGGGGAGCAAACGGG
rnacentral:rRNA from 1 species